AAAAAUGAAAGGGAUAAUUUAUAAAUAAAAGAAACCAAAAUAGGGACCGGCGCGCAAUAUGCACAAAUGCGCAAGGACUAAAGCUGGAAUUAUUCCAGAUCCUUGUUGAGGCGCGGACCCAAUUGCAAAUAAACACAACUUACAAAACCAAAUUGAAAAAAAAGAAACAAAACGAACAAGGCACGAUUGAAUACACAUGCGAAAAGGAAGGACCCAUCGUGUAAAUAUCCCCUCACCGUAAAAACACGCGGGUCCUAGGGGCAAAGAAUCAGAUCGGGCCUGGUAUAGCCAAUACAGCACCGUUUUGGAGCCACUAAAACAGGCUCAAAACGGCACCGUUUUUGGUUUGUUAAAAAGACUGAAACCAGCCUCCUUCAGCCGAAUCAACCCUAGCCCCCUUUAUUCUCAACUAGCAAGCCUUGAACCCUUGAUUUUUAUACACCGAUCCACCACUAAGAAUGGCAGUCGGCGAUUUCGGGGCCACAAAGGGCUGGUUUUUGAGCCUUGAAAUCCCCUGUAGACUUCGAUUUCGACGAAGCAAAGGAGAUUGGACAGCUUAUUCGCAAGGUAUCAUCACCUUUCUCUUUUCUUUUUCAACGUAAACGAUGAAAAAAAAUGAAGGAAAUAAAUAAAAUAAUUAAUAGAAUAUUAAGAAGAUUUAAAACGAAAAUCGCCUUCUCAAAAAUUACCUUUGAAUUUUCUAUUCAAUAUCUAUAUAAAGUGUGCCUACAAAAAGAUCAAUACAUUCUUUUUUGGCUUUAUAGCCGAAAUCUAAAAGAAAAAUAAAAAUAAAAAUACAAUAUUUUCUUGCUUUUUGUUGUCCUUCUCUUGUUCGUUUGCAGGUAUUGAGUACUGGGCGUGUGCUGGUACUUGGCGUAAGGCGUACGGAGGCAUGCGUGGCGUUCGUACGGUGUUGAAGGCUGGGGCUUAGCUGCGGCGCAAGGGAAAGAAACCCUAGGGUUUUUGUUGUUUUAAUUUUUUGGGCCUGUUGGGCCGUAUAAUCUUGGGCUAGGGUUAGUAUUAAUUUUGGGUUUGUAAUGUUUUGGGUUUUGGGGUUAUAUAGUUUGGACUUUGAUGGACUAUUAAUUUGUUUUUAUUUUUAUGGAUUUUUGGUUUAAUAUUUGGUUUUAUUCUGGUUGUUGGGCCCUGGGCAGAUUUGGGCCUAUACAAAAAGUGUAACAAUGUGUAAAAGUGAAGAAUGAAUAAGUAAAUGUGUAACACCCCUAACCCGUAUCCGACGCCGAGAUAGGGUUCGAGGCGUUACCGAUGUAGAAGGCCUAUUUCGCCCGGGCUUUUAAACUUCUGUAAAAACCAAAAUAAAAAUAACAGUCCAAUAUAGAUUUUGAAGCCCAAGUUUUAAUGCCGGCCCAAAAUAUAGCUUUGGCCAAAAUUAAACAGGCUCAAUACAUUGACCCAAAAUUCCAGGCCUGAUUGUUAGCCCAAUUACAUUAAACAGUCAGCUAACCUAGGAAUCCCUAGGUUACCCACGCCGCAACCCCCACGUUUAGUGCCUCUCCACCACACAGUCGGCAUAUCAAGCACGACCCUUAGCUCGUUCGUUGCUCGCCCACGUCCUUUCACGUCUCCACGACCUGCGAUUUGAGCAAGAAAACAAUAGGAAAACUACUUGUAUUCGGCUAUAAAGCCUCCAAAUUUUUCAUUGUAAAGGGCUAUUUUUUGGACUUUUUUUUGAGAAAAAUUGAAGAUAGAGAUAAUAUUAAGCACAUACAGAAAGAUAUAGCAACCAUAUUUGUUUGAGGUGAUUUAAAUUUUCAUUUUUCUUUCAAUUUUAUUUCCAUUUUCUUUGAUUUUUUUAUCUACUGUAUAUAAGUAAUAAGAGAAAGGGGAGGCAGCUCACCGGAGUUACCGUAGGAGAACCUUCGCUAGUUGCGAACGGAGAGCUUGGGCAUUAGCCUUUCGGCUGAAGAGUAAAGGGAGAGUGAGGGAGAUGGAAAGCAUAAAGCAUUUAGGUUUUUUUAAACAAAAAAUAAAAGUCAGAAUGUUUAUUUGUUUUUUUUCAAAGUAAAAAUUUUUAAACAGGUUUUAAUAAAAUGGAACAGCAUUUUUGGGGGGACGGGAAGUUUGUACGCAUGUUUUGG
rnacentral:lncRNA from 1 species